GAAUGAAAAAAGAUAGAUGGUGCAGUAUUCUAGUCAACCAACUAAUUUUGAAGGCGGGCUUAAAAAUCCGUCAUAGGGCAUAUCGAUGAAGUUCGUGGUGCUGGCUUUGGACGCCCAGUUUGGGGCUGGUGCUGGGAGUUAAGGGGGGAGGGCGAUCCGCAAUGGCAUGUGGGCGAUGACCCUGUCCCCGUGGAGGCCUAAGUUUGUAGAUUAUGCACCACUGUGUGCAGUUUAUGGCUUAGUGUUGAACCUGUAUUCGGUUGUGCUGGGUACAGCGUAGCCUGCCUUGAGUGAAGGUGGUGGAUUGCAUAAAAAGUACUUUGUAAAGUCAGGGCCAUGACUGACAAGGUGCGCCUGAAACCUUCUUUGCAAAAGAGGCUAGGAAUUAGUGUGGGUUGUUGGGGAAAUCUCCUAGACUGUUUGCCUUUGGUAAGGCUUAUCGAGGAUUAAAGUGUGGACUAAGUGGUAAUCCAGUCCUGUUAGUGGUGACACAACAGGGUAGUUUUAAAGGGAAACCGCCAUUCGGGUGACCGUUGGUAUACUACCGGGAAAGCCUACUGGACCUAAGCCACAGAGUUUUCUCAAUGAGCUGCCAUCUAUCUAUAGAUUAUU
rnacentral:sRNA from 1 species